GUUAAUUUGUUUAUAUGUAAGAAUUAUGCUUUUCUCGAUUUGAUUUAAUUUGUUGUAAAAUAUGCCAACUUCCAAAACGUUGGUAACGUUUGUUACUGUUGUUGAACCGCAGUAUCAUUAUUUCAUUGAUGUUUUUCAUUUUUCUUUUUUACUUAUACUUAUUGAGAAAAUAAUUCAAAAAAAUUUAAUAGCUGAUUCAUUGUGUAAAUAAAUAUCGUAAUCUUUAACCUGAGAGACUAUCUCAUACCCUCCUAUAUGACUUCAUUCAAGAUACUACACGAGCUGAGAAAGAUUUUCAUAAAAUUAAGUAAUUCAUCAAGGACUGGCUGAUUUUUUUUUAACAGGUGUUGUAGGGACACACACGAACAAUUGAGCUUUGUUUGAUUUGUGAGCGGGGGAUUCAGUAACGAUGUGAUUCUCAACGGUGCAAGCAGAAGCUUUAUCUAAUGAAUUCAUUUUUAUAGGAGUGUCGGGUAGUUCAGUUAUUACAGAAGAACUUUUUCGCGGAGUAGCUUGCACUAGAAUUGAAUCCAUCGAAGGUUCUGAGCGCUUAGAUACAGAUCCCUCGAGAAUGCUAAGUGUUUUUGACCGAGAAAGAGAAGAAGUUGUUUUCGGCUGUACACUUUCCUCACUUUGUCCUUGUAAGCUUGCCAUGGUAAGUUUCUCAGUAAACGAUAAGUUUCUUCGUGGAAAAUUUGUAGAAAUAUCAUGCAUUGAGUUUCUUUGUUUUGACAAAGACGAAGAAGGAAGGUUUAUUUCACGGUUCUUGAUGCGAGCUAUAUCGGAAGACCUUCUUCUAGUGUCCCUCUCAAAACCAUUGAAUGAAGAAUCUGACCGAGUCAAAGAAUGAACCCCAGAAUUGCUUCUUCGACGUUUAAGAAUUUCAUAAUCCUUAGAGAUAGAGGCCUCCGAAUGAGGACUAGAAGUAUUGGAUAUACUGGCACCAGAAGUAUUUCCAGGUAAAGCGCGACCGGCUUCUGAUUUGCUACUAAUCAAUUUUGAACGAGGAGGAGCGCUAUGUCUAUGCUUAUGAGAGCGUUCUGGUAAUAAAUCUAAACCGUUACAUUUCUCUAAAAGGUUGCGCGUAAUUCGAGGGAAUUUAGAGGAGUAAUAUGGGACUAUUGUCUCCUUACAAAACUUCAAUAAGAGAUCCUCAGAUCGUUCGGUAGCAUUUUGUUCUAUAGUCCUUCGUAUGCAAAGCCCAUCAAAUGUAAAUUCCAAUUUUAAUUGAGCAGUUUCAAAAGGAUUAAGCGUUUUUGCGUUUUUUUUCCGAGAUUUUCGUUUACCACUAUCGCGAGAAUCCAACAAACUGUUAUCAUUAGCCCGACGCCUUGCGUACUCAGGAUCCCAUUUUAAAAAAAGGUAUAGAAUCUCAAAGUAUAAAAGUACACGAAUUUCAUACUCCUUCAAUUUCAGUUGGGAAAACUCCCUCUCAAAGUCAAGUUUUGUAAUUUGACAAUUUUCUCGAUUUAAUAUGUUUUGAAGCCAGAGGCGAUAGCCUUUAAUCUCAUACUGAUGGGCUUCAUUUUCGAAUUCCAAAUGCCAAGCCUUAUAGUUUAAAUGUGAUUCAAAACAUUGAAGUAAUCGGGAUUUACGGUCAUCGACAGAUUUAAGAUUAUCUAAAAAUUUUAACAGUUCAUCAACUAGAGCUUUUUCUUCUACAUGAUUGUGUACUUCAACUGCUAGUUGUCGAGUUUUUCCAACCAUUUGCUUUACAUAAAAAACAACAGGUGUUUUGGUCAUCAAUAGUUGAUAAAAGUAGGAAUUGUAAAGAUGGUCCAACAAAGAUUUAACGUCACGUGAACAGCUAGGAGUAUAAUCUUGAACCAUUUCAGUAACGGAAUCAUUUGCAAAUUCAUGCGUAAGGGAAUUGCCAUCUUUUGAAGACGAAAUAAGAUCAUGCGUAACGAAUGAAUGCGGAGCUUGGCUUUCGCGUUCGUUUGCUUGAGAAGCAUCUGAUUGAAUUCUGUGAAGUUCCUUUUUUAACAAACUAGGUGACAUUAAAGAGUUCGAACGGAACAAUUGAUCUCCUAAAGGUUUGUUUGAGACGUUGGACAAGCUUUUAGAGGAUUUCGUUAAUUGAUGAUUUGCUAUCACCUUCAAAGACUUAAAAUCCAAUUUUUCUGAAAGAAAAAUCAAGGCAUAACGGCUCCCUUCCACAUGUUCAAUUCCAACAAGUUGAUUAGCUUUCGAACUUUUUACACGUCCGAGUAAAACACUAGUGCCAGCUGGCCUUAUAACUAUGAAUUGUAGUGAUGAGCAAGUAAACUCGUGAUAUUCCUUUGAAAUGCACCAUCGCAGGCAAAUACACUGCCUUGGUACAGUAACUAAGGGCCAGACU